UGAGAGAUGAGAGAGAAGAGUACAGGACAGGGACAGAUAGACCAUGCUAAGAGAUUGGAAUUUUGUCCUGUGCAAUGUGGGAACCAGUAGUGAAGGUUAAUUAACUGACAUGAUUUGAUAGGUUUUUGAAAAGGGCUCUUGUUGGCAUUAGUCUAGAGAAUGUGUUAGAGCUGCGAAACGAGGGAAAAAAUGUUGGGAGGUUGUGUUAUAGUAAUUUAAAAAUGGCAAUGGCCCAGAAUUAAAGCAACAAGAGUAGGGGUAGGCUCAGGUGAUGUAUAGGGGGAAAAAUGACAACUAAGUUUUGGGAUUAACGAGGAGAGUAAAGUAUGGCUUCUGGGUUUCUCAUUUGACGUACUGAGUAAAUGAUGAUGUUACCCACUGAGAAAAUAGUACUGUGGUUAGAGUAGGAAGAAAGUUGAUUUAAAGUAUUUAUUUCCUUUAGUCAUUCUACUUUUGGAUUCUAGGUUUGGGUGCUAUAUUGGCUAUAAACAAUUUGCUGAAUAAUAAAUUAUCCCAAAACUUAAGAUAGUUAAGAAAAUUAUCUCACGGUUACCAUGAGUCAGGAGUCCAGGUCUCUCAUGAAGUUUCAGUCAGGCUCUUGGCUAGGGCUGUAGUCAUCCGAAGGAUUAACUGGUAAGUUGCUAAGCCCACACUUAAGCUCCACCUUUUAAGGGAGAAGUUUGGAAAAUUUGUGACCAUAUUUCUAAGUCAACACGUAUGCUAUGAACUAGUAUAGGGGAGGGAGAGGAAAGAACACAUUUUAAUUUUUUAUUACUAGCAUACUGCAUCUAGUUCCUAAUGGACAUAUUGUAAAGAUAUUAAGAUGUUUUCUAUGCAUUAUAGAUAUACAGUAGUUUUUAAUCAAACCUUAAAGUAUUUGGUAACAGAUUGAUUGAGUUUUUUGUUGAGCUGUGGAAAUAAAGGGGAUUCAUUUCAUUGAUUCAUCUAUUGUUGUCAUGUCCCCUUGGCUCAUGUCCAGACUACUUAACAAGGCAUAUUAUGGCAGACACACUUACAAGGCAUCUAUCUGGGAUGUGGAUCUGCCCUGCCAGGCAGAACUUACUGAAAGAACCGAGAACCAGACCUGUAUUUCCAAGAUGGGGUCUUGCUAUGUUACUCAGGCAGAUCUUGAACUCCAGACCUCAAGUGCUCUACCUCGGCCUCCCAAAGUGAUGUAAUUAUUGGGAUAUGCCACUGUGCUCAGCCUAAACUCAUGAUGAGUUAAUCUGGAUAUAACUCCAUGACAAGUUAAUGAGCAUCCAUAUUAUUGAUGUGUGCAUGUUCUCCAGCUGAUAAGGUUAGAGGUAGGGGUGUGAUAGAGACUUCAGUAAGCAAGAUAUGGUCCACAAAACAGCAUGUAUGUGUAGAGUUAUGCAGUAAGAUGUUUCAGAGACAACUGAGGUUUUUGCUAAGCAUUGCUGCUGACUUAAAUGAAAAUGUUAGAAUAGGGUUGGGGUGAAAAGACACAUUGUGUUGUCAACCAAAUAGCAGCAGAACAACUAAGGGAAUGCCCUAUAGAACACUGAAAAUGUGGGUCUGCAACUUAGGGGAGAGGAAUAGAUAGGCAUGUUGUGUUGGGGGCUCACCUUUGUGCUGAGGAGAGGUGAGGCUGGCAUGUCUGAGACCAACCUGGCCUUUUUAAAUUUUCUCUUUGCUGUGGUUUCAGUGUGUUCCCUUUCAGAAUUCUUCAUGUGUUGGAAGCUUAAUCUCUAAUGCAACAGUGUUGGGAGGUGUGGCCUUUGAGAAGAUGGCUAAGUCAUGACUGGAUUAGGCUAUUAUGAAAAGGAUACAUGGGGUGGAUUCAUCCUCUUCUGAUCUAUUAUUAUGUGAUAAUUCAACAUUCAUCUUCUCUUGCCCUCCUGACUUCCACCAUGUAAGGACACAGUAAAGCACACAGUAGAUACAAG